UUGUAUUUAUUUUAUGAUAUAAUUAGGAAAUUUUGGUCCUUUUAUCUCUGUUAACCGACUAUGUAGAGGCUAUUUAGUGUUCAUCCUUAUCUUUUUACCCUUAUUUAUGACUAUUACUAUUCUGUAUAGAUUUGUGAUAUGUGUUGCUACCUCUCUUCCUUGCAUCUAUUGCUUUCGCUGCCCUGUUUUAUCUUUCAUCACUUACUGCCUCAUUUCAUUGCCUAUAUUUAUUGCUUUGUUCUUUUAUCUCUGUACCUUUGACUACUUAUGUUGGAUGUUGUUUUACCUGUGACUACUCACUCCUUCGUUGGUCCCUCUAUCAAAUAUCGAAGACACUCCAAUUUUAAUGAUUCGUCAGUUAAAGGGAAUUUCACUUUCUCAUGCUAUUUUACUUUAGAAGAUUUUCCUGCAUCAUUUACUCUUGUUCGUGUGUGGGCUGUUCAUAGUUGGUUCCUCAAGCAAGAUUUAUAGCAUUGGAGGUUACAGUUGAAAAAAACAAAGGGGCCACAGCAACAAAGAUGAACAAGGAGUUAUAUAUGUUGUAAAUAACUUCAUAUGACAUUAUCUUAUAUAUAUUGUAAAUAACUUCAUAUAACAAUAUCUUAUAUAUAUUCAUGUAUAUUUAUAAUUUACUUCUGUUGUAUAAAGAUUAUCUACUUUUUCU